CUAUAAUGCAGUCGAGCGAACAGAUAAGGAGCUUGCUCCUUUGACGUUAGCGGCGGACGGGUGAGUAACACGUGGGUAACCUACCUAUAAGACUGGAAUAACUCCGGGAAACCGGGGCUAAUGCCGGAUAACAUUUAGAACCGCAUGGUUCUAAAGUGAAAGAUGGUUUUGCUAUCACUUAUAGAUGGACCCGCGCCGUAUUAGCUAGUUGGUAAGGUAACGGCUUACCAAGGCAACGAUACGUAGCCGACCUGAGAGGGUGAUCGGCCACACUGGAACUGAGACACGGUCCAGACUCCUACGGGAGGCAGCAGUAGGGAAUCUUCCGCAAUGGGCGAAAGCCUGACGGAGCAACGCCGCGUGAGUGAUGAAGGGUUUCGGCUCGUAAAACUCUGUUAUUAGGGAAGAACAAACGUGUAAGUAACUGUGCACGUCUUGACGGUACCUAAUCAGAAAGCCACGGCUAACUACGUGCCAGCAGCCGCGGUAAUACGUAGGUGGCAAGCGUUAUCCGGAAUUAUUGGGCGUAAAGCGCGCGUAGGCGGUUUCUUAAGUCUGAUGUGAAAGCCCACGGCUCAACCGUGGAGGGUCAUUGGAAACUGGGAGACUUGAGUGCAGAAGAGGAAAGUGGAAUUCCAUGUGUAGCGGUGAAAUGCGCAGAGAUAUGGAGGAACACCAGUGGCGAAGGCGACUUUCUGGUCUGUAACUGACGCUGAUGUGCGAAAGCGUGGGGAUCAAACAGGAUUAGAUACCCUGGUAGUCCACGCCGUAACGAUGAGUGCUAAGUGUU
rnacentral:rRNA from 1 species